UCCCAUCAAGCUCUUCUACACCUCCA
rnacentral:piRNA from 1 species